GCCUGGGUGGCUUAGUUGGUUAAGCAUCUGCCUUCAGCUCAGGUCAUGAUCCCAGGGUGCUGGGAUCGAGUCCCACAUCAGGCU
rnacentral:tRNA from 1 species